UGGGGGGACCCGCCCCACACCCAUCACCUGGCCCAGGGCCAGGCCCCCCCUCCAGGGCAGCUGGGAGAAUUAGACAAGCAGGUAUUUGUCAGGUGCUUGCAAUGGGCCUGGUGCAAAUCCUGGUAAUUCUGGAUGAGUGUUUGGUAAGUCCAGUGACAUUGAUGGGACCAGCGAGAGGGUCGGUCUCAGGGGCAGAUGCCCAUUCCCAGAGCAUCUGCUCACCAAGGCUCCUCCACGGUGCACUGGCACUUGGAGACC